CGACGGGACUGGUCGGAAAGGCUCCAAGGGAGUAUCUUAUGGCAAGAUUCUGUAUUCUGUCCAGCUUGCCAAGCAACGUAUUACUACUACAUGUAGAAUACACAGAACAUCCGUAGUCGAUCCUUGAUAGUAUGAGACCUUUAUAUAGGUCUAGCAGCGUCUUGGGAUGCGCUCCCCACUUGUGGUGAGCUAAGACUCGGAUGACAUUCAGGGACUUUCUACAUGUAGUAGCAACGUUCUGUAUAUGCGCGGACCAGCGUAGCUCUCUAUCGAACGUUAGACCCAGGAACUUGACCUCUUGGACCACGCUUAUUAUGCGGUCAUUCAUAAAUAAAACCGGGUCAUAAUGGGGUUUGCGAAGUCGACAAAAAUGUGCAACCUUCGUUUUCUCCUCUGAUAACACAAACCCAACAACGUUGGCAUUAUUACAUAUUUGAUUUAUCGCCACUUGUAAUUUACGUGUUAUAAUACCGACGGUCUUAUCUGCACAAAAAAUCGUCAGGUCGUCGACGUAUAAACAUUUUCCGAUUUCGUCAGCAACACCUCGAGCUAUCUCGUUGAUGGCAAUGCCAAACAGGGAACAGCUAAGUGUGGAGCCCUGCGGCACCCCAUUCUCUAAAACGUGCUCGUUUGAAUAAGCGUCGCCAACUCGUACGACAAAUUUCCUAUUUUCCACAAAAGAUUGUAUAAACUUUGGCAGAUUCCCUCGUAGAUUAUAUUUGAACAUAUUUUGUAGUAUACCAUACCUCCAAGUCAUGUCGUAUGCACCCUUGAUGUCAAAGAAGACCCCAACCAGGUGCUCGCCACUGUCGAACGUAUUCAGAAUACGAUCGCUCAACUUGACCAGAUGGUCAAUAGUUGAUCGUCCCUUCCGAAAACCGGUUUGAUAUGGGACGUAUAUAUUGUUACGUUCGAGGAACGUUUGCAACCUCCCGUUUACCAUCUUUUCCAACAGUUUGCCUAGACAAGAGGUCAAACUUAUUGGACGGUAGUGUUGUGCUAACAGCGGGUCUUUUCCCGGCUUCGGUAUAGGGACUACAACUGCCUGUUUCCAUUCAGAAGGCACUACAGUGACGAAGCAUCUGGUUAUGGAUACCAUCUCCUCCCGGUGAACAUGACUUGGUGUUACGGAUUGCUUCAUCUAGUUCUUCUAGGUUAAAAGGUUGUUGGUAACUACCCCAUCGGAGUUACGCAGAAAUCUGGGAUAAGCGCAACCGAUUUUACCGGAUAUUGCUCCUACCUUCUUCCAGACUUCGCCAA